rnacentral:lncRNA from 10 species
AGUGACGCUCCGGAGCCGUCGCCAGGGUGGUAAUACCUGGUGCAGAGCUUGAGUCUGGCCAGCGGGUCAGGCUCUUGCUAGAUCAGCACCGGAGGUGGAAGACUGGUAAGUGAUUUUACUGGGUUUUCUCCUGCGCCUGAUAUUAAUGGCUGGCCGGGGCUCUGUGCAGCAUUAUGGCCAGCCCGAGAAGUGAGUGGGCGAGGGUGGAACCAGAAGGAGUCCCCAUCAAACCCCGUGGCGCUUGACACCCAGUGCAGCUGGAGAAGGCCCUGGGAUCCCGGCUUACCGUCUUAUCCACUCGCAAAAUCUGUCUCCGACUUGGAACUCGACCUCGGGUCACCAAGUGUCCCUGGGCGAGGCCGAAGACACCGUGUACCGUGACUCGGCGUUGUGCCGAGUUUCUCUACCAAUGAUCAACGAGUUUCCUAUCUCCCAUUGGCAGCGUUUGGCCACUCUUGAUUCCUGAGUACUGUUUCCGUAGUUCUGGGGUGCCGUGCCUGGAAGGCAGGAGGUUGGCUGAAGAAGACAUCUUUUACAAACAUUUAGGAAGUGAGAUGGGGAGGUUCCUUCCUGAUUUAGAAUUAAUUGAAGGUUCCUCCCGCCAUUUGAAUUGGAUGAGAAGAACGGUCUUUGUUUUCAUGGCUGAGACAUAAGAGAACAAGCUUGUAAUUUCAUGCUUGGGCAUUAGAUGCAUUUUUGGAAAGCAGUGAUCAUGUCCACUCCACACUCAUUCAUAAAAGGCAAUGUGCUGUCCUGCAAAGAAGACUGGACUGUGAGACAGGAGAUGAGAGAAUAUCUAAUAUUUUUCUGUGUUUAUUCUCUGCUAUUCAGUGUUAAAUUACUCCUUACAGCACAGUGGAGUCUCACUCUGUCACCCAGCCUGGAAUACAG